UACGGAGGGGGCUAGCGUUGUUCGGAAUUACUGGGCGUAAAGCGCACGUAGGCGGCUUUGUAAGUUAGAGGUGAAAGCCCAGGGCUUAACCCUGGAAUUGCCUUUAAGACUGCAUCGCUAGAAUUGUGGAGAGGUAAGUGGAAUUCCGAGUGUAGAGGUGAAAUUCGUAGAUAUUCGGAAGAACACCAGUGGCGAAGGCGACUUACUGGACGCAUAUUGACGCUGAGGUGCGAAAGCGUGGGGAGCAAACAGG
rnacentral:rRNA from 1 species